rnacentral:rRNA from 1 species
UACAGAGGUGGCAAGCGUUGUUCGGAUUUAUUGGGCGUAAAGAGCUCGUAGGCGGUCUGUCGCGUCUGCUGUGAAAACUCAGGGCUUAACCCUGAGCUUGCAGUGGGUACGGGCAGACUAGAGUGCGGUAGGGGAGACUGGAAUUCCUGGUGUAGCGGUGAAAUGCGCAGAUAUCAGGAGGAACACCGGUGGCGAAGGCGGGUCUCUGGGCAGUAACUGACGCUGGAGGAGCGAAAGCGUGGGGAGCGAACAGG